GCAGGGGGGCGUGCUAUACAUGCAAGUCGAACGAACUCUGGUAUUGAUUGGUGCUUGCAUCAUGAUUUACAUUUGAGUGAGUGGCGAACUGGUGAGUAACACGUGGGAAACCUGCCCAGAAGCGGGGGAUAACACCUGGAAACAGAUGCUAAUACCGCAUAACAACUUGGACCGCAUGGUCCGAGUUUGAAAGAUGGCUUCGGCUAUCACUUUUGGAUGGUCCCGCGGCGUAUUAGCUAGAUGGUGGGGUAACGGCUCACCAUGGCAAUGAUACGUAGCCGACCUGAGAGGGUAAUCGGCCACAUUGGGACUGAGACACGGCCCAAACUCCUACGGGAGGCAGCAGUAGGGAAUCUUCCACAAUGGACGAAAGUCUGAUGGAGCAACGCCGCGUGAGUGAAGAAGGGUUUCGGCUCGUAAAACUCUGUUGUUAAAGAAGAACAUAUCUGAGAGUAACUGUUCAGGUAUUGACGGUAUUUAACCAGAAAGCCACGGCUAACUACGUGCCAGCAGCCGCGGUAAUACGUAGGUGGCAAGCGUUGUCCGGAUUUAUUGGGCGUAAAGCGAGCGCAGGCGGUUUUUUAAGUCUGAUGUGAAAGCCUUCGGCUCAACCGAAGAAGUGCAUCGGAAACUGGGAAACUUGAGUGCAGAAGAGGACAGUGGAACUCCAUGUGUAGCGGUGAAAUGCGUAGAUAUAUGGAAGAACACCAGUGGCGAAGGCGGCUGUCUGGUCUGUAACUGACGCUGAGGCUCGAAAGUAUGGGUAGCAAACAGGAUUAGAUACCCUGGUAGUCCAUACCGUAAACGAUGAAUGCUAAGUGUUGGAGGGUUUCCGCCCUUCAGUGCUGCAGCUAACGCAUUAAGCAUUCCGCCUGGGGAGUACGGCCGCAAGGCUGAAACUCAAAGGAAUUGACGGGGGCCCGCACAAGCGGUGGAGCAUGUGGUUUAAUUCGAAGCUACGCGAAGAACCUUACCAGGUCUUGACAUACUAUGCAAAUCUAAGAGAUUAGACGUUCCCUUCGGGGACAUGGAUACAGGUGGUGCAUGGUUGUCGUCAGCUCGUGUCGUGAGAUGUUGGGUUAAGUCCCGCAACGAGCGCAACCCUUAUUAUCAGUUGCCAGCAUUAAGUUGGGCACUCUGGUGAGACUGCCGGUGACAAACCGGAGGAAGGUGGGGAUGACGUCAAAUCAUCAUGCCCCUUAUGACCUGGGCUACACACGUGCUACAAUGGAUGGUACAACGAGUUGCGAACUCGCGAGAGUAAGCUAAUCUCUUAAAGCCAUUCUCAGUUCGGAUUGUAGGCUGCAACUCGCCUACAUGAAGUCGGAAUCGCUAGUAAUCGCGGAUCAGCAUGCCGCGGUGAAUACGUUCCCGGGCCUUGUACACACCGCCCGUCACACCAUGAGAGUUUGUAACACCCAAAGUCGGUGGGGUAACCUUUUAGGAACCAGCCGCCUAAGGGGACAAAAAGA
rnacentral:rRNA from 1 species